rnacentral:tmRNA from 1 species
GGGGAUGACUGGUUUCGACUUGGAACGAUAGUUUCUUGAGAAGCGGGCCGAGGACUCAGGGUUAUCUCGUUAACGAUCCUUGAAAAACCAAUAAGUGCCAACUCUGUUCGCACCGACUAUGCUCUUGCUGCCUGAUCAGUAACCAUAGGGUCAGCCUGGGGGUGCCUCCCCUCCAGAUACUGGCCUCAUUUUGGAGGCUUAGUUGUUUAUUCUCGUCCUAGGAGUAGACAAUGAAACUUAUAGGACUGGGCUUGUUCAUGACGUGCUUGGGAGAGCGUGAGAGCCGAGUAAAGCGGUAACGCAAGCUGCGCCCGGAGAAUGCAAGUGACGUCUUUCGAGGACGGGGGUUCGACUCCCCCCAUCUCCACCC